ensembl:lncRNA
GCAUUGCACUUCUUGUGUUACCAUCUUCGUGUGUGUGACUUCACCUACCUUUGUCUAUCUAAUUUUUAGGCUCAAUCUUUACUACUGGAUUCGAUUGCCUAAACUGACUGAUCACUCAAAUUUGGGGUUGUUUUUUUUUUGGCUGAAAGUAUAGUAUGUCUUUUUAACUUUGCUUCUAUGUCAUGUAUUUUUCAUCUUUGAGUCACUUGUCAGCUUUUAGCAUGUCUUCCUGUUAGUAUGCAUUUGUCUUUUAAUGCCUUAUGUAGUGCUAACUGAUCUUUUAAAACUGUUCAUCCUAACAAUGUUGCGGAAGGUUUUUUGGUCAACGCCAGCACAGGAAUAUUUUUGUUGUCUGUGCAACCAUCCACAGAGAUGUUAAAGGAGUGUGGCAAAUAUGCAAAAUCAUCUGAUCGUAUCAUUUGUAGCUCAGGUUGCUUUCCAACUUUGUGCAGCGCGGUGGUUCUUGAGCGUAAGUCUUCCAAGACCUCUUUUCUUCACUGACUGCUGUUAACUUCUAUUGAUGUCAUUACUGUAGCUGUCCAUAGACAUUAUGUAUCAGCUUACAUGUCCAAAUUAGUUUCUUACUGGAGAACAAAGAAAUACAAUGAAAGAUACUGUUUUGUGUGUUUGCUUUUUUUAAAAAAAAAAAAAUCAUUUCAAUAAAUAUUCAUUUUGCACGUCAAACUAAUAGAUAACGUGAGCAUAUCUUUUUGCUUUUUGCGUACGGGUGGUCUUCACUUAGCUACAUUUGGUCAGCUGACACUGCAAACGAACAGUAUUAUUCAUAUGUAAUUGUGAAUAAAGGCUUCUCUGUUGGCAGUGUGUGUCACAAUAGUUCCAGGUAUCCAAGGUUCUUAAAUGCUCAAAGGGAGGAAUUACUCAAUACUUUGUACAGCUGAGUAUACAAAAGCAGAAAUAUGCCACUAAAGAUUGGUUUUAAAAUAAAUGUGUAUAUUAAUUUCUCCUAAUUAAGUGUAUUACUGCUGAUUCUUCAGAUUUAGCUUUAUUAACUAUAAGCAGUGCUAACACAGUUCAAAGAGAAAUCUCGCUCUUUCGCCAACAGAGAACAAAGUUAUAAAUCUUGACCUGUCACAUCUUUGUUUGUGUGAUUGGAGAUUCCCCCUGAGUCCUGUGCGAGAACUUUGUCACCAGGGUUUCCACUCUCACAAUUUCUACCGAAUACAAACAAAAACACUGAGUUGUUUGUUCUGUUUAUGAGUGCCUUUGUGCAUGUGUGUGCUUGAGUAGAGAGGCGGAGUGUGACACCGACACGACAAGAAAAGGGUCUAGGAUGAGCUAGAAUUCAUUAAAAUUGUUGUUCAAAUAAAAGUUCCAUUUUCUCUUUCAUCUUUAAAACAAUAAAGGGUCGUUCAUAUUUCCAGAAGGAAGAACUGGGACAUCCAUUUCUCCAUUAAUGGGAUCAGUGAGAGAGUGUCUUUGUUUUCGGAACUCAAGUGGUGUUUAUUGUAAUCUUCUCAAACAAACCAUUUUAACACAACUCUCCUUCAAAGUUGGCUAAGGCAGGUCUAAACUCC